rnacentral:rRNA from 1 species
AAUCAACGCUGGCGGCGUGCCUAACACAUGCAAGUCGAACGAGAAAGUGGAGCAAUCCAUGAGUACAGUGGCGACCGGGUGAGUAACACGUGACUAACCUACCCUCGAGCGGGGGAUAACUCCGGGAAACCGGGGCUAAUACCGCAUAACACCGCGAGGCGAAAUUCCUUGUGAUCAAAGGAGCAAUUCGCUUGAGGAGGGAGUCGCGUCUGAUUAGCUAGUUGGUGAGGUAACGGCCCACCAAGGCAAUGAUCAGUAGCCGGCCUGAGAGGGCGCACGGCCACACUGGAACUGAAACACGGUCCAGACUCCUACGGGAGGCAGCAGUGGGGAAUUUUGCGCAAUGGGGGAAACCCUGACGCAGCAACGCCGCGUGGAGGAUGAAGUCCUUUGGGAUGUAAACUCCUUUCGACCGGGACGAUAAUGACGGUACCGGAGGAAGAAGCACCGGCUAACUCUGUGCCAGCCGCCGCAGUAAAAC